CCUACGGGCGGCAGCAGUAGGGAAUAUUGCUCAAUGGGGGAAACCCUGAAGCAGCAACGCCGCGUGGAGGAUGAAGGUUUUCGGAUUGUAAACUCCUUUUGUUAGAGAAGAUAAUGACGGUACCUAACGAAUAAGCACCGGCUAACUCCGUGCCAGCAGCCGCGGUAAUACGGAGGGUGCAAGCGUUAUUCGGAAUCACUGGGCGUAAAGGGCGCGUAGGCGGGAUAGCAAGUCAGAUGUGAAAUCCUAGGGCUUAACCAUAGAACUGCAUUUGAAACUGUUAUUCUUGAGUGUGGGAGAGGUAGGCGGAAUUCUUGGUGUAGGGGUAAAAUGCGUAGAGAUCAAGAGGAAUACUCAUUGCGAAGGCGACCUGCCGGAACAUAACUGACGCUGAUGCGCGAAAGCGUGGGUAGCAAACAGGAUUAGAUACCCGAGUAGUC
rnacentral:rRNA from 1 species